UGAAAGUUUACAAUGUCGGCAUCGAAAUUUGCUAUAUUUUGUAUUGUUCUCAUUUGUCUUGCUAGUCUUCAUGAAUGUAUGUCAUAUAUAGCAUAUGUUCCAUCCAAUCCUCUAGCAUCAUUACCAUUAAAUUAAUAUUAAUAUACUCCAUCAUCUUUUAAUUUUGUUUUAUUCUUUAAACUUUCUGCAGGUGUCAACCCGGAAAGAAAGCCCAAAGGAACAUGCUCUAAAACACCAAAUAAUGUUUGGUGUUGCAGUUCCACUACACACUGCCGAAGCACCAAAGCAGAUUGUGAGAAGAUGUGUAUCUGGUAGUAUAUGGGGCCGUUGAGUUUUACCAAAGAGAAUUUCAAUAAUUAUAUAUUUCAAUUAUUUUCAUAAUUCUAUUAUUCAAAAUUUAAAGAAUAAAUAGAAAUUCCUAUUCCAC
rnacentral:lncRNA from 1 species